UGAGAGACCUGUGUACGAUCCUGAAAAGGCUAAGUUUACGGCUCAGGAAGAACUUGACAGGAUGCGCGAAGAAGUCAAUCAAAGCGAUGUAUGUGUGUUUGGUUUUUUGAUUAUGUAUGUGUGUUUGUUUAAUUUAGUCAGAGCUGAGUGUUUGUUUGUUUGUUUGUUUAAUCACACGACGACAGGGUUUUGAUAUCGAUUUCGAUUACUACCGCUGCGUUUUCAACUACCAUCGUGCCUAUCUCG
rnacentral:lncRNA from 1 species